GAUGAACGCUGGCGGCGUGCCUAAUACAUGCCAGUCGAGCGAACGGACGAGAAGCUUGCUUCUCUGAUGUUAGCGGCGGACGGGUGAGUAACACGUGGAUAACCUACCUAUAAGACUGGGAUAACUUCGGGAAACCGGAGCUAAUACCGGAUAAUAUUUUGAACCGCAUGGUUCAAAAGUGAAAGACGGUCUUGCUGUCACUUAUAGAUGGAUCCGCGCUGCAUUAGCUAGUUGGUAAGGUAACGGCUUACCAAGGCAACGAUGCAUAGCCGACCUGAGAGGGUGAUCGGCCACACUGGAACUGAGACACGGUCCAGACUCCUACGGGAGGCAGCAGUAGGGAAUCUUCCGCAAUGGGCGAAAGCCUGACGGAGCAACGCCGCGUGAGUGAUGAAGGUCCUCGGAUCGUAAAACUCUGUUAUUAGGGAAGAACAUAUGUGUAAGUAACUGUGCACAUCUUGACGGUACCUAAUCAGAAAGCCACGGCUAACUACGU
rnacentral:rRNA from 1 species